rnacentral:RNase_P_RNA from 1 species
AGUAUCAGCUGAUAGCUGCUUUUUUAAAGUAGAGGAAAGUCCGUGCUAGCACCAGCUGCGAUGCUGGUAGUGUUCAUGUUAAGCCUAAGAAGCUUAAGUUUAAAACGACUAGUGCCACAGAGACGAGAAUUGUGAAACGGGUAAACUCCAUGAGCUAGAAACCCAAAUUUGGUAGGGGAACUUCGAAUAGAAACUGAACAAUUUCGAAGAAUAUCAAGUUAUUUUAAAACAAGAUAUUAGAUAAAUUAUCAGCGCAUUUUUAAUGUACAGAACACGGCUUAUCGAU